GGAUGAACGCUAGACGGCAAGCUAAUACAUGCAAGUCGAGGGGCAGCAUGACUGUAGCAAUACAGUUGAUGGCGACCGGCAAACGGGUGCGGAACACGUACAGAACCUUCCUUCGAGCGGGGAAUAGCCCAGAGAAAUUGGAUUAAUACCCCAUAGUAUAUUGGAGUGGCAUCACUUUGAUAUUAAAGAUUUAUCACUUGAAGAUGGCUGUGCGGCUGAUUAGAUAGUUGGCGGGGUAACGGCCCACCAAGUCUGCGAUCAGUAACUGGUGUGAGAGCACGACCAGUCACACGGGCACUGAGACACGGGCCCGACUCCUACGGGAGGCAGCAGUAAGGAAUAUUGGUCAAUGGACGAAAGUCUGAACCAGCUAUGCCGCGUGGAGGAUGAAGGCCCUCUGGGUUGUAAACUUCUUUUAUAUGGGACGAAAAAGGGCCUUUCUAGGUCAACUGACGGUACCAUGUGAAUAAGCACCGGCUAACUCCGUG
rnacentral:rRNA from 1 species